rnacentral:rRNA from 1 species
UACGUAUGGUGCAAGCGUUAUCCGGAUUUACUGGGUGUAAAGGGAGCGCAGGCGGCACGGCAAGCCUGAUGUGAAAGCCCGCGGCCCAACCGCGGGACUGCAUUGGGAACUACCGGGCUGGAGUGCCGGAGAGGUAGGCGGAAUUCCUAGUGUAGCGGUGAAAUGCGUAGAUAUUAGGAGGAACACCAGUGGCGAAGGCGGCCUACUGGACGGUGACUGACGCUGAGGCUCGAAAACGUGGGGAGCAAACAGG